GUAAUCAUACCAGCACUAUUGUAUCGGAUCCUAUCAGAACUCCGCAGUUCAGCAUGCAUGGGCAAGAAUAGAACUAGGAUGGGUGACCCCUUAGGAAGUCCACGCGUUGCACCCC